GGCUUUGAGGAACAGGGAUGGACGUGGGGUGGGUGGAGGUGGAGCCAUCCUGGAUUUUCAUGGAUUGGGAAAGUUCCUGGUGGAUGAUCCAGGAAAAAAAUUGGGAUUACAGCAGAAAAACAUCUCCAGAAUGGAGCUGGGAUGGGGUUUGGAGGCAUCUCAAGGGCUUUGAGCAACGGGUGGGGUGGGUGGAGGUGGAGCCAUCCUGGAUUUUCACGGAUUGGGAAAGUUCCUGGUGGGUGCCAGAUGUUGAUCCAGGAAAAAAAUUUGGGAUUAUGGUGGAAAAACGGCUCUGGAUGGAGUUUGGAUUUGGGUUUGGAGGCAUCUCAAGGGCUUUGAGGAGCAGGUUGGACGUGGGGUGGGUGGAGAUGGAGCCAUCCUGGAUUUUCAUGGAUUGGGAGGCUCCUGGUGGAUGUCGAGUGUUGAUCCAGGAAAAAAACCUGGGAUUAUGGUGGAAAAACAGCUCUGAAGAACUCUGGGAUGGGGUUUGGAGGCAUCUCAGGGGGUUUGAGGAGCAGGGUUGGACGUGGGGUGGGUGGAGCUGGAGCCAUCC
rnacentral:lncRNA from 1 species